ensembl:lncRNA
UGGGGCUGAGAGGCAGGAGGGUUGAGGUGUGGUGGGGCUGAGAGGCAGGAGGGUUGAGGUGUGGUGGGGCUGAGAGGCAGGAGGGUUGAGGUGUGGUGGGGCUGAGAGGCAGGAGGGUUGAGGUGUGGUGGGGCUGAGAGGCAGGAGGGUUGAGGUGUGGUGGGGCUGAGAGGCAGGAGGGUUGAGGUGUGGUGGGGCUGAGAGGCAGGAGGGUUGAGGUGUGGUGGGGCUGAGAGGCAGAAGGGUUUAGGUGUGGGUCUGAGAGGCAGGAGGGUUGAGGUGUGGUGGGGCUGAGAGGCAGGAGGUUUGAGGUGUGGUGGGGCUGAGAGGCAGAAGGGUUUAGGUGUGGGUCUGAGAGGCAGGAGGAUUGAGAGGGCCUCAUCCCCACAGGGGGAGGAGAGUUUUCAGUGUCUAUGAUGAUAGGGGAGAGGAGGGGGUGCAGGCCCAGGGCAGGCAGGCAUGGAGAAUAGAUUGGGAGAUAGUGAGCAUUGAUGUCCCAGCAGCAGGACGUUGGUAGGGUGAUGUAAAUCAGAUGUUAAGGAG